ACGGUGGCCUAAUACAUGCAAGUCGAGCGGACAGAAGGGAGCUUGCUCCCGGAUGUUAGCGGCGGACGGGUGAGUAACACGUGGGUAACCUGCCUGUAAGACUGGGAUAACUCCGGGAAACCGGAGCUAAUACCGGAUAGUUCCUUGAACCGCAUGGUUCAAGGAUGAAAGACGGUUUCGGCUGUCACUUACAGAUGGACCCGCGGCGCAUUAGCUAGUUGGUGGGGUAAUGGCUCACCAAGGCGACGAUGCGUAGCCGACCUGAGAGGGUGAUCGGCCACACUGGGACUGAGACACGGCCCAGACUCCUACGGGAGGCAGCAGUAGGGAAUCUUCCGCAAUGGACGAAAGUCUGACGGAGCAACGCCGCGUGAGUGAUGAAGGUUUUCGGAUCGUAAAGCUCUGUUGUUAGGGAAGAACAAGUGCGAGAGUAACUGCUCGCACCUUGACGGUACCUAACCAGAAAGCCACGGCUAACUACCUGCCAGCAGCCGCGGUAAUACGUAGGUGGCAAGCGUUGUCCGGAAUUAUUGGGCGUAAAGGGCUCGCAGGCGGUUUCUUAAGUCUGAUGUGAAAGCCCCCGGCUCAACCGGGGAGGGU
rnacentral:rRNA from 1 species